AGUGAGACUGGCCAGUCGGCCUGCGCCUUCACACUCUGCUUCCCCAGUUUAGCAGCACAGGCACUCAGGCCUGGCGUGUUGUCCCCCAGCAAGACCUGAGUCUGAGGAAAACUGACAACCUUUUAUCAGCUAUUUAUUGUACACAAGGUAUUUGCUAGAUGACCUCAUUCCAGCCUAACGACAGUGCUGAGAGCAAAUGUCCCCAUUCUUCAGGUGGGAACAAGAGACAAGGAGAGCUUGAGGGACUGGUCCAGGAUCUCACAGCUAGCAGAGCUGGGACUCAGACCAGUUCUGUCUCAUUCCAGAUCCCUGUCUGCGCCUCCUCCUCUGUUGUUCCCAGGUGGUUGGUGUGGCCUGGUGGCACCGUCCUAGGGCACUGGCAUCCAGUUUUCUUCUUAGCAUGGGCUGAGGGCUAGAAGCAGGCGGCCCUCUCCCUUCACUCAUCCUCACGGAGGACCUGAAAGAUGGACCUGCUGUGGGAAUGGGAAUGGGGAAGAAGUGGGGCCGUGUGGACAGCCCUGUCGGGGACAGUGAGGAGACUCAGUGCCUGUCCUGGGGGACAGCUCUGCCUGGAGGCUGGGGUCUCUUUGACCUUCCUGAG
rnacentral:lncRNA from 1 species